AGUGAACGCUGGCGGUAGGCCUAACACAUGCAAGUCGAACGGCAGCACAGUAAGAGCUUGCUCUUACGGGUGGCGAGUGGCGGACGGGUGAGGAAUACAUCGGAAUCUACUUUUUCGUGGGGGAUAACGUAGGGAAACUUACGCUAAUACCGCAUACGACCUACGGGUGAAAGCAGGGGAUCUUCGGACCUUGCGCGAUUGAAUGAGCCGAUGUCGGAUUAGCUAGUUGGCGGGGUAAAGGCCCACCAAGGCGACGAUCCGUAGCUGGUCUGAGAGGAUGAUCAGCCACACUGGAACUGAGACACGGUCCAGACUCCUACGGGAGGCAGCAGUGGGGAAUAUUGGACAAUGGGCGCAAGCCUGAUCCAGCCAUACCGCGUGGGUGAAGAAGGCCUUCGGGUUGUAAAGCCCUUUUGUUGGGAAAGAAAAGCAGCAGGUUAAUACCCCGCGGGGCUGACGGUACCCAAAGAAUAAGCACCGGCUAACUUCGUG
rnacentral:rRNA from 1 species